AUACAGGGAUGGAGAUGGCCUCUCUUCAGAGACGCACAAGCUUCCUCUCCUGAGUUUUUAUGAGAUGUCAGAUAGAACUGUCUACAAAAACUUGCUCCAAGGAAUAUUUUUAAGAGAUUUGUUUUGAAAUGAAGGGCUCCUUGAGUGUGAGGCAUCCUAAGUGGUCCUCGGCCUCCAGCUGUGCUCCUUAGCAGAAGGGGUUAGACAAGGCUGCUCCGACAUGACAGUCCCCAAUUACGUCUGAAACAGCACUUAAGGAAGGUUUGGGGAAGGAGACAAAACCACUCUCCAUACAGUGGAGAAAUCACACAGAAUAAACAGUUUUAGCAGGAGAGUGGGGUUAAUGAGGAGUCAAACGGUAAAAGUGAAGAAAGCCAGAGUCGGGGCUGCCAGAGGGAGCGCGGGCGAGGCCACCUGAAGGACCAAGGGAUGCGCUUGAACCCACAGAGUGUGCCGUGGACAGCCGUGAGACUCUCGGACCGGCUAGGCAAUCCUGCAGCCUCUGCCCCGUCCAGUUAAGGUCUUGACAGCGCUCCGCUGAUGGCGUUUAUUGCAUCCACUUUGAGUCACCAGGGCUUCUCGGUCCCAAGAUGGUGGAGUCUUAAGAUCGGGAGGGCGACGACCACACGUGAGUCCUGUAUGGAGCAGCGUCUCAGGCCGCUUGGGACUCUUCUCAGCCACAUAUACAUUGGAUGUUUCAAAGCCUCAAUGCAUGUUUUGUAUCCUGAAAGACUAUUGUUCUCACUUACAAAAGACAUAAGAAUCAAAUUAAUACUUUAUUAUCAAACACUAUAUACAACAGAGGUUGCUAAUAAUACAGAGUUUAAAGAACGCAGUUUUUUUUCUUUUUUAACGUUUAACUUUUCUUUCUUCUGCCACCCAAGAAAGUACAGUACAAAACAAUAG
rnacentral:lncRNA from 1 species